UAUUUAUUUUUAUUUGAGUAAAAUUAAGGGGGAUUAGCUCCUUGUUUUAUCCUUAUAAUUAGUUUUAAUUUGAAUUUAGUUUUGUGGAUUUUAUGGUGAUUUUCUAUUUGAUUAUGUUAAAAUUUUAUUUGUUCUUUUUUUGAUUUUUUGUUAUUUAAGUUAUUUAUUGAAAUGUUUUCUUUAUUUUUGGUUUGUAUAGUAAUUAUUGUGUAAUUAGUAAAUUUUAUUUGUUGUUUUGUGUAAUGGUGGUAAUAAGGUGUUAAUUAUUUUUGAGGAAUUCGGCAAAAUUUUUAUGUCCGCCUGUUUAACAAAAACAUCUUUUCUUGUUAGUUUUUGAAGUAUGGCCUGCCCACUGACUGUUGUUGAAGGGCCGCGGUAUUUUGACCGUGCAAAGGUAGCAUAAUCAUUAGUUCUUUAAUUGUGAUCUGGUAUGAAUGGCUUGACGAGACAUAAACUGUCUUAAAGGUAUUGCUUAUUGAAUUUGGUUUUUGAGUUAAAAUUCUUAAAUGUUUUUAUGGGACGAGAAGACCCUAUAGAGUUUAACAUUUUUCUUAUUUGUGUGUUGUUUGUUUAUUUUUAUUGAGUGGGAAUAAUUGUUUUGUUGGGGUGAUGGGAGGAUAUGUUUAACUCCUCUUUGCUUUUGUAUAUUUAUUUAUA
rnacentral:rRNA from 1 species